rnacentral:rRNA from 1 species
GGUGAAGCGACUAAGUCGUACACGGUGUGCUGCCCUGGCAGUCGCAGAGAGAUGACGAGGACCACAGGAGCUCGCUAGAUCUGCGAUAAGCGUCGGUAAGUGACUAUGAGACCGUUAUAACCAUGCGCACGUAUGUCCGAAUGGGAAACCAGUGUGAUCGCUCACACUAUCAUGUAACUGAAUCCAUAGCUAAUGAGGCGCAACCGGGAAACUGACAACAGUCUAGAGUACGCACCGAGGAGAAGCAAUCAACCGAGAUUCCCAGUAGCGGCGAGCGAACGGGUGAGCAGCACAGCGCCUGAAUCAGUGUGUGUGUUAGUGGAGGCGUCAUGGAAGGCGCGCGAUACAGGUGACAGCCCCAGUACACAAGAUGCACAUACUGUGAGCUCGAUGAGUAGCGGCGUAGACACGUGGUAUCCUGUCUGAAUAUGACCAUCUCAUCCAAGGCUAAAUACUACUGCCUGUACCGAUAGUGAAGCCAGUACCGUGGAGGGAAAGGCGAAAGAACCCCGGCGAGGGGACUCGAUGAAAAGAACUCUGAAACGGUGUACGUACAAGACAGGUGCGUAGCCUCUUAAUGCGCGUGACUGCCAGUGGACGGCUGUUUGUAUAAUGGUCGUCAGCGAGGCCUUAUAUUCCUGUAGAUCAGUUGAAGCCGAAUAGGGAGCGUAGAAGGGAAGGCGCGAGUCGUAACUGUGGCUGUUCAAGAUUGCAGGGUACGAGACCCGCCGAACCGCGUGUAGUCUAGCCAGUGAGUGCAGUGGAAAUGUUGGGUAACACUACUGUACGAGCGCGAGACCGACUAAUGUUGAAAAAUAGCGGAUGAGCGUUGUGGCGGGGGUGAAAGGCCAAUCAAAGAAAACAACCGGGAGAUAGCGUUCUCACCCGAAGCUAUUUAGGUAGCGGCCAGUCGUGAACUUCACCUCUCCGGGUGGUAGAGCACUGUUUCGUGCAAGGGGUGCAUGGCCCGACUUACCAACCCGAUGCACACUGCGAAUACCGGAGAAUGUGUUAGCACGGGAGACACACGAGGCGUGGGUUGCGUACGUCGGUCGUGAAGAGGCGAAACAACCCAGACCGACGCCAGCUCAUAGGUCCGCAGAAGUCAGUGGUUAAGUGGGUACACGAUGUGGGAGAGGCUCGAGACAUCCGGAGCAUGGUGUGGCUCUAGAAGCAGCCAUCAUUGAAGACAAGCGUAAUAGCUCACUGUUCGUCGAUUGGUCGGCCUGCGCGGAUAGACAUGUUUAACGGAGGUGUUGUGUGCUAUGAACCGAUGGACGCCGUUAAGCUGCGGCAGCCGACGCGUAUGGAGAGCGUUGUGGGUAGGGUGAGCGUUCUGGAAGCCUGCGCUACAGGUGUCGCCUGGCGAGCAUGCUGUAGAGGUAUCAGAAGUGCGAAGCUGCACUAUAAGAGUAACGUAUAAACGCGUGUGUGACACAAGCCGCGCUCGCCGGCCGAAGCCACAAGGGUCCGGUGCUCCACAGCUGUAAUCUGGUGGCAGGGUGAGUCGACCGGCCAAGGCGGAGUGGCCGAAAGGCGUAGUCGAUGGGAACACAGUACUAACGAGUUCUGUACUGUGGUGUUUACUGCGAUGAGGACCGGAGCAAGGCUGAUGUAUGCCGGAGGUCGACGCGUUGCCUCCCGCGUUAAGCGUGCUGAGGCAUGGUUUGUUUCCUUCCAGGCAAUCCGGAAGAGAGAACUCAAGGCUGAGCGGAUGACGUAGGCAUACGGUUCUGAAGCGACAAAACUGCUUCCAGGAAAGCUCUAAGCAUACAGUGUAUCAUCAAAUCGUACCCCAAACGACACAGGUGGUCAGGUAGAGAAUACAAGGCGCUUGAGAGAACUCGGGUGAGGACUAGUGCAAAAUGGUGCCGUAACUUCGGGAGAAGGCACCUGAUGUAGUGUGAAGUCCCUUGCGGAUGAGCUGAAAUCAGUCGAAGAUACCAGCUGCUGCAACUGUUUAUAAUAAAAACACAGCACUGUGCCAAACACGAAAGUGGACGUCUACGGUGUGACGCCUGCCCGGUGCCGGAAGGUUAAUUGAUGGGGUUAGCGGUAACGCGAAGCUCUUGAUCGAAGCCCCGGUAACGGCGGCCGUACUAUAACGUGUCCUAAGGUAGCGAAAUUCCUUGUCGGGUAGUUCCGACCUGCACGAUGGCGUAAUGAUGGCCCAGGCCUGUCUCCACCCGAGGACUCAGUGAAUUGAACUCGCUGUUGAGCAUUGAGCGGUUCCCGCUGCAGACGGAAAGACCCGCUCGUGAACCUUUACUAUAGCUUGACACUGAAACAUGUGAGCCUUGAUGGGUGUAGAUAGGUGGAGGCUUUGAAGUGUGGACGCAGUCUGCAUGGAGCCGACCUUGAAUAACCACCGCGUUUAGUAUGGUUUGAUGUGGGGAAUGAGAGGGAAAGAAGGGCUAGUUAGCCGUUGGGCCCUAAUCGGCGGUGCGGACAGUGUCUGUGGGUAGUUUGACUGGGGCGGUCUCUCUCCUAGGAGUAGUACAGGAGGAGGCACGAAGGUUGGCUAAUCCUGGUCGGGACAUCAGGAGGUUAGUGCAAUGGCAUAGAGCCAGCUUGACUGCGAGCGUGACGGCGCGAGCAGUGCGAAAGCAGGUCAUAGUGAUCCGGUGGUCUGAAUGGAAGGGCGCAUCGCUCAAGAGGAGUAAGAAGGUACUCUCCGGGAUACAAGGCUGAUACCGUGCCCAGAGUCAUAUCGACGGCGGUGUUUGGCACCUCGAUGUCGGCUCCACACUCCUGGGGCUGAAGUAUGUCCCAAGGGUAUGGCUGUUCGCCAUUUAAAGUGGUACGCGAGCUGGGUUUAGAACGUCGUGAACAGUCGGUCCCUAUCUGCCGUGGCGCUGGAGAACGAGGGGGCUGCUCUAGUACGAGAGGAACCGAGUGGACGCAUCACUGGUGUUCGGGUUGUCAUGCCAAUGGCACUGCCGUAGCUAAAUGCGGAAGAGAUAAGUGCCUGAAAGCAUCUAAGCACGAAACUUGCCCCGAGAUGAGUUCUCCCUGCGACUCCCUGAGAGUCCUGAAGGAAUCGUUGAAGACGACGACGUUGAUAGGCCGGGGUUGUAAGCGCAGCGAUGCGUUGAGCUAGACCGGUACUGAUGAACCGUGAGGCUUAACCCU